CCUACGGGUGGCAGCAGUGAGGAAUAUUGGUCAAUGGGCGAGAGCCUGAACCAGCCAAGUCGCGUGAGGGAGUACUGCCCUAUGGGUUGUAAACCUCUUUUGUCGGGGAGCAAAAGCCGGACGUGUCCGGCUGUGAGAGGUCCUGAAGAAAAAGCAUCGGCUAACCUCGUGCCAGCAGCCGCGGUAAUACGGGGGAUGCGAGAGUUAUUCGGAUUUAUUGGGUUUAAAGGGGGCGUAGGCGGAAUGCCAAGUCAGCGGUAAAAUCGCGGGGGUCAACCUCGCUCCGACGGUGAAACUGGAGUUCUUUGGUGGGCGAGAAGUAGGCGGAAUGCGUGGUGUAGCGGUGAAAUGCAUAGAUAUCACGCAGAACUCCGAUUGCGAAGGCAGCAUACCGGCGCCCAACUGACGCUGAAGCACGAAAGCGUGGGUAUCGAACAGGAUUAGAUACCCCAGUAGUC
rnacentral:rRNA from 1 species